rnacentral:rRNA from 1 species
UACAGAGGUGGCAAGCGUUGUUCGGAAUCACUGGGCUUAAAGGGCGCGUAGGCGGGCUGCCGCGUCCGGGGUGAAAUCCUCCAGCCUAACUGGAGAAGAGCCUCGGAGACUGGGGGCCUCGAGGAGGGUAGGGGCAAGGCGGAACUAUGGGUGGAGCGGUGAAAUGCAUUGAUAUCCAUAGGAACUCCGGUGGCGAAGGCGGCUUGCUGGACCCUUUCUGACGCUGAGGCGGCGAAAGCCAGGGGAGCAACGGG